rfam:Mustela putorius furo unplaced genomic scaffold scaffold00044, whole genome shotgun sequence.
GCCUGGCUGGCUCAGUUGGUAGAGUGUGUGACUCUUGUUCUCAGGGUUGUGAGUUCAAGCCCCAAGUUGGGUG